GUGGGGAAUCUUCCGCAAUGGACGAAAGUCUGACGGAGCAACGCCGCGUGAGUGAUGAAGGUCUUCGGAUUGUAAAGCUCUGUUAAUCGGGACGAAAGAGCCUAGUGUGAAUAAUGCUAGGAAGUGACGGUACCGGAAUAGAAAGCCACGGCUAACUACGUGCCAGCAGCCGCGGUAAUACGUAGGUGGCAAGCGUUGUCCGGUAUUAUUGGGCGUAAAGCGCGCGCAGGCGGAUCUGCCAGUCUGUCUUAAAAGUUCGGGGCUUAACCCCGUGAUGGGAUGGAAACUACAGAUCAAGAGUAUCGGAGAGGAAAGUGGAAUUCCUAGUGUAGCGGUGAAAUGCGUAGAUAUUAGGAAGAACACCAGUGGCGAAGGCGACUUUCUGGACGAAAACUGACGCUGAGGCGCGAAAGCCAGGGGAGCGAACGGGAUUAGAUACCCUGGUAGUCC
rnacentral:rRNA from 1 species